UACAGAGGGUGCAAGCGUUAAUCGGAAUUACUGGGCGUAAAGCGUGCGUAGUCGGUUAUCUAAGUCGGAUGUGAAAUCCCCCGGGCUCAACCUGGGAAUUGCAUUCGAUACUGGAUAGCUAGAGUUCGGCAGAGGGAAGUGGAAUUUCGGGUGUAGCGGUGAAAUGCGUAGAUAUCCGAAGGAACAUCAGUGGCGAAGGCGGCUCUCUGGGACGGUACUGACGCUGAGACGCGAAAGCGUGGGGAGCGAACAGG
rnacentral:rRNA from 1 species